AUAGGACCCACCAUAACCCACAACGCACUGUAGAUACCUGAGUUCUGCGUGUGCCAUCAUCCGUAGUCCUAUCCCUCUUUUCCCGCUGCCUCUGCUAGCUCAGAUUUGGCAGCUCGGAUCUUGGUCUCAGAUUCAAUUGUGGGAAUAUUUUGUGCUGAUUUUUUUGAGUUCUGUCAGCCAAGCAUCUGCUGUGCACCCCUCUAACACUCAGCACAUCAAAUUGAAUCCCAUGUGUGCCGCCCGCUUCAGAGUGUACGUCCAAGUAAAACAGUUUCACCUUUGAUGCUCCAUUACCAGAGAUCAGAUCCUGCACUGGUUUCCAUUCUCUACUUUGCCUUCUCCUGCUUCCAGGUUUUCUGAGGCCUCAUCAUGUCUUUGGAAAUAACAGACCAGUCUUCAGCAAGUGUCCUGUGCCAAGGGCUGGACGUCAGGAAUCUUGGACCCUUUCUUGGAGCAGAGAUUCGAGUAACUUUCUCAAGUGCACGUUGACACACCGUAUGUUUCUCAGAACAACUCUCAUCAAUGUGUUCGCACCUCUCCUCAAUCCGUGCCUCCAGCUUUUCUGCCAGCUUCUCUUCGUGUCUCCCAUAAAGUCGAAGUCAAGAGGACUGGGUAAGUCAGAAAGUACCGCGGAGCCACACCAGUAAGCUGAUGACAGGCAGAUCUUCCAAUGUCUGCCCUUUAAGAUUCUGGAAACUGUCCCUUGAUGUCAGGUCUUUGGGCAGCAGCAGUAUCUCGAACUUACACAGCUUCCUGAACAAAAGACCUAAGCCAAUCUCCACAUAGGGUAGUAGGCCCUCCAUCACACUGAUCCACCCAAAGUAUUCUGCCCAGUUACCUUGGAUCCACCAGCCACAACAAGCCUCGUGGUACUCACCAACA